UACAAAGGAACGGCGUUUCAUGAGAUGUUCUGCAGGUGAGCUGUAUGUACCGCUGUCUUCUUUUGAAGGACACCUAGGCUUCUCCUGAAACUGUCCUCAGCUGAAAGCGUUUCUAUCGAGGAACUCCACUAUGGAUCCUGACAAGACCUCCUAUGUGAGGCUGAAUGAGGAGAAAGUAAUUGCAAAGUCUGAUAUUUUGUCCCUUCUAAAAACGUACAACUGUUAUCAUGAGGGAAAAAGCUUCCAGCUUCGGAUUCGUGAGGUAUGCUACAUCACAGAAAGUGAAAUUAACUUCAUACCUAAAUCAAAUCUUUUGUUUCCUGGUUAGUGAUUAAUAGAUAGAACCUGACCAAGAGUUGAGUCAGAGUGUGUGAGACAGCAAAACAAAAAGAUCAUUGUCUCAGAGUAUGAACACAGAGU